rnacentral:rRNA from 1 species
CGGACGGGUGAGUAAUGUCUGGGAAACUGCCUGAUGGAGGGGGGUAACUACUGGAAACGGUAGCUAAUACCGCAUAACGUCGCAAGACCAAAGAGGGGGACCUUCGGGCCUCUUGCCAUCGGAUGUGCCCAGAUGGGAUUAGCUAGUAGGUGGGGUAACGGCUCACCUAGGCGACGAUCCCUAGCUGGUCUGAGAGGAUGACCAACCACACUGGAACUGAGACACGGUCCAG